rnacentral:rRNA from 1 species
AUUGCAAACUCCGAAUACCGAGACGGACUGUAUGGGAGACACACGGCGGGUGCUAACGUCCGUCGUGAAAAGGGAAACAACCCAGACCCACAGCUAAGGUCCCAAAUUCACUGCUAAGUGGAAAACGAUGUGGAAAGGCAUAGACAGCCAGGAGGUUGGCUUAGAAGCAGCCACCCUUUAAAGAAAGCGUAAUAGCUCACUGGUCGAGUCGGUCUGCGCGGAAGAUUUAACGGGGCUAAGCAGUGAACCGAAGCUUGGGGUGCAUAAAACUUGUUUUAUGCGCGGUAGAGGAGCGUUCCGUAAGCCUGCGAAGGUGGAUUGAGAAGUCUGCUGGAGGUAUCGGAAGUGCGAAUGCUGACAUGAGUAACGAUAAUGCGGGUGAAAAGCCCGCACGCCGAAAGCCCAAGGUUUCCUUGCGCAACGUUAAUCGACGCAGGGUUAGUCGGUCCCUAAGGCGAGGGCGAAAGCCGUAGUCGAUGGGAAGCAGGUUAAUAUUCCUGCACCUCGCGUGAGUGCGAUGGAGGGACGGAGAAGGUUAGGUGUACCGGGCGUUGGUUGUCCCGGGGAAAGGCGGUAGGUUUGGAUCUUUGGCAAAUCCGGGAUCCUUUAAGACCGAGCACCGAGACGAGCCUUUUUGGCGAAGUCACUGAUACCACGCUUCCAGGAAAAGCUCCUAAGCUUCAGCUCACGAAGACCGUACCGUAAACCGACACAGGUGGGUAGGAUGAGAAUUCUCAGGCGCUUGAGAGAACUCGGGUGAAGGAACUAGGCAACAUGGCACCGUAACUUCGGGAGAAGGUGCACCCUUUUUGGUGGCUCGUGCGAGCUAUAGCUGAAGAGGGUCGCAGAAACCAGGCCGCUGCGACUGUUUAUCAAAAACACAGCACUCUGCAAACACGAAAGUGGACGUAUAGGGUGUGACGCCUGCCCGGUGCUGGAAGGUUAAUUGAUGGGGUCAGCCGCAAGGCGAAGCCCUUGAUCGAAGCCCCAGUAAACGGCGGCCGUAACUAUAACGGUCCUAAGGUAGCGAAAUUCCUUGUCGGGUAAGUUCCGACCUGCACGAAUGGCGUAACGACAGCGGCGCUGUCUCCACCCGAGACUCAGUGAAAUUGAAAUCGCUGUGAAGAUGCAGCGUUCCCGUGGCAAGACGGAAAGACCCCGUGAACCUUUACUAUAGCUUUACACUGAACGUUGAGUUCGUCUGUGUAGGAUAGGUGGGAGGCUAUGAAACUGUGGCGCUAGCUGCAGUGGAGCCAUCCUUGAAAUACCACCCUGUCGUGCUUGACGUUCUAACCUAGGUCCGUUAUCCGGAUCAGGGACCGUGUAUGGUGGGUAGUUUGACUGGGGCGGUCUCCUCCUAAAGAGUAACGGAGGAGCACGAAGGUACGCUCAGCGCGGUCGGACAUCGCGCACUGUGUGCAAAGGCAUAAGCGUGCUUGACUGCAAGAUCGACGGAUCAAGCAGGUACGAAAGUAGGUCUUAGUGAUCCGGUGGUUCUGUAUGGAAGGGCCAUCGCUCAACGGAUAAAAGGUACUCCGGGGAUAACAGGCUGAUACCGCCCAAGAGUUCAUAUCGACGGCGGUGUUUGGCACCUCGAUGUCGGCUCAUCACAUCCUGGGGCUGUAGUCGGUCCCAAGGGUAUGGCUGUUCGCCAUUUAAAGUGGUACGCGAGCUGGGUUCAGAACGUCGUGAGACAGUUCGGUCCCUAUCUGCCAUGGGCGUUGGAAGUUUGAGAGGGGCUGCUCCUAGUACGAGAGGACCGGAGUGGACGAACCUCUGGUGUUCCGGUUGUCACGCCAGUGGCAUUGCCGGGUAGCUAUGUUCGGAAGCGAUAACCGCUGAAAGCAUCUAAGCGGGAAGCGCGCCUCAAGAUGAGACUUCCCGGGGCACAAGCCCCCUAAAGGAACCAUGUAGACUACGUGGUUGAUAGGUCAGGUGUGUAAGUACAGCAAUGUAUUGAGCUAACUGAUACUAAUGAUCCGUGCGGCUUGACC